UGUGGGGUUAUACCAGGAAUACCUAUAUGCUCUCUGAGGAGGCAUUGGCUUCAUUCCCGGACGUUUCUAAUUAUAUUUGUGAUAGUCAUAUUUGUGUCUGGAUUUUUAACAACAAUAUGCUGUGUGAUUGGAUUCCGUCAUAUUAAAUUAGUAAUUUCAUCUAACAAAAUCGAAGCUGUAAAAAAACCGAGUACGCCAGAGAUAUUGAAUUUCCCAAGAAUCACUUACAGAGAAUUGUCGGAGGCAACCGACGGAUUUGAUGAGCAGAGACUAAUUGGCACAGGUAGCUAUGGACGCGUUUACAAGGGAGUUCUACCAGAUGGAAUGGCCAUUGCUGUAAAGGUGUUACAGU
rnacentral:lncRNA from 1 species